rnacentral:lncRNA from 1 species
AGUUAAGAGCUUUCUGAAGAGUGACGUCAUAUCCAGAAGAGAAAGGCCGGGAGACUGAUCUUGAUGCAGGAUGUGGAGGUUUCAGCCUUGGUUACUUACAAUUUUACUUUAGGCCCUGGAGAGGCAGGCUGUGCAGCUGGGAUCGGUCCUGGAGGAAACUGCUUGUUCAUGAUGGCUAUUAUCACGUUGCCAAAAACCCUUAGACAUUGAAGAUGGAAUGGAAGCCUCUCUCAUCACUUCAAAGGUGUUUUAUCGCCCACGUUAUAAAUGAGGAGGCAGAAGCACAGAGAUGUCAGGACACUUCGAUGGAUGCCAAGCUUGUGACUGGCAAGGCUGAGGUUGUUUGUCCCACUGAUGGAAAACUGACUAACAGCCCCUAACAAGAUGUGCUUCCCAUUGUUAAACUGGAGUCUCCUAGGACCUUUCUCUCCAUCUGGAGAAUCUGGAGGACAGAGCCUGCCAAGGUCAAUGAGAAGAAGACACAAAGGAACAGAUCAAGAGCCAAUUCUUGACAGUUGAGUUUUCUAAAUAGGUUCAAAAACUCGUAUCAAGGGCGACAUUCUUGAAAGCCAAGGCUUUUGAUUUGAAAUCUUUUUUUUUUUUUUCACUUCAGAAGAGUAAAUAAAUCCUGGAAGGAGCUGAAGAACAAAACAGUGCUCCCAACCCCAGCACGGAGAAGGACUCCUCUUUUCUUUAAUUCAAUUUUGC